rnacentral:rRNA from 1 species
AUUGAACGCUGGCGGCAUGCCUUACACAUGCAAGUCGAACGGUAGAGGGGGCAACCCCUUGAGAGUGGCGAACGGGUGAGUAAUGCAUCGGAACGUGCCCAGUAGUGGGGGAUAGCCCGGCGAAAGCCGGAUUAAUACCGCAUACGACCUAUGGGUGAAAGCGGGGGACCUUCGGGCCUCGCGCUAUUGGAGCGGCCGAUGUCAGAUUAGCUAGUUGGUGGGGUAAAGGCCCACCAAGGCGACGAUCUGUAGCUGGUCUGAGAGGACGACCAGCCACACUGGGACUGAGACACGGCCCAGACUCCUACGGGAGGCAGCAGUGGGGAAUUUUGGACAAUGGACGAAAGUCUGAUCCAGCCAUGCCGCGUGCGGGAAGAAGGCCUUCGGGUUGUAAACCGCUUUUGUCAGGGAAGAAAUCUUCUGGGCGAAUAACCUGGGAGGAUGACGGUACCUGAAGAAUAAGCACCGGCUAACUACGUGCCAGCCGCCGCAGUAA